UUGCCUGUAGCUCAGUGGAAAGAGCAUAUGCUUUCUAAGCAGUCGAUCGCUGGUUCGAAUCCAGCCAGGCGAG
rnacentral:tRNA from 2 species